rnacentral:misc_RNA from 1 species
GGAAAUCUCGCACGACGUGCGCGGCUCUGUAGACAAGAGCAGCUCAUGUUUCCCUCCUCCCCUCUUUGCUUCCCUGAUUCUUCUUCAAGAGCGCAUCUUCACCCCUGAUGACGACGCGGGGGGGGCACAUGCCUCUGUGCGUCGUGUCUCUGAGCCCAGUGCCCACUCUCUCUGUGGGGAAGCCAAGCAGCCCCUAUUCCUGCCACUGCACAACCACCUCUGGUGGUGACAGGGUCAGGCGCGCGUGACGUAGGGACGUCAGAGCGAUGUAUCACUGCCGAUGUCCGCAGUGUCCGGUGCUGGACGGCGUGGCGCCGGAGCGACCCGCGGCCGCGCACACGUUUUCGCCAUCCACAGGAUGGGCGGAGUGUCGGCGUGACUCGAACGCGUCCCACCCCCGGCCCUCACUGCCCACUGGGGGCGGGGUGAGCCUGGCCCCCCCCGAGAGGGAUGCCCCGGGUGAUGGCCAGCAUAAUGUGCGUGGCUGUGGGGCGACCUGUGGGGCGGGGUUGGGUAAGGUUCGAGGCAGAAGCCAUGCACCGAUGACCGGGUCUGGGCAUUGCUGCACCUCGUGUGCCUACGGCUGCCUCGCGCCGCGCGACGGGGCCUGUGACCGGCCGGGCAGAGAUGAGCUUAGCUCUUGUUGUGUGGUGGCAUGGGCGUGGAAGGAAAACGAAAGGGCUCGUCUUCAGCAUCAUCACUGCCAGCCGCUGCCGUCACUGUCUCCAUCAACAGCAGCAGCGUUUGCUGUAGCGCCAUCUCGGAAGGAGAUGAGGCCGAAUCCAUCC